rnacentral:misc_RNA from 1 species
GAUGAAAGAACGUAGCGAAAUGCGAUAAGUAAUGUGAAUUGCAGAAUUCAGUGAAUCAUCGAAUCUUUGAACGCACAUUGCGCCCCCUGGUAUUCCGGGGGGCAUGCCUGUCCGAGCGUCAUUACAACCCUCAAGCUCAGCUUGGUGUUGGGCCCCGCCGCCCCGGCGGGCCCUAAAGUCAGUGGCGGUGCCGUCCGGCUCCGAGCGUAGUAAUUCUUCUCGCUCUGGAGGUCCGGUCGUGUGCUCGCCAGCAACCCCCAAUUUUUUUCAGGUUGACCUCGGAUCAGGUAGGGAUACCCGCUGAACUUAAGCAUAUCAAUAAGCGGAGGA